UACAGAGGUCUCAAGCGUUGUUCGGAUUCAUUGGGCGUAAAGGGUGCGUAGGCGGCGGAGCAAGUCAGGUGUGAAAUCCCGGAGCUCAACUCCGGAACUGCAUUUGAUACUGCUUCGCUAGAGUACUGGAGAGGAGACUGGAAUUUACGGUGUAGCAGUGAAAUGCGUAGAUAUCGGAAGGAACAUCAGUGGCGAAAGCGACUUCCUGGACCAAUACUGACGCUCAUGUGCGAAAGCGUGGGGAGCAAACAGG
rnacentral:rRNA from 1 species